UACAGCGCAUUGAAGGGUCGCGUCGGCCGUCUAGAGCGCCGAAACGGGUCCCAAGGCGCGAGGCGCGCAACACUUAAAUUGCUCUCACGCGCUUACCGUCAAUCGGGGCUAUUUGGGAAAUGCGGGGCAAUUUGGGAAUUAGCGGAUAAAAAUAAUUGUUGGCAAUGCUGUGCAAUCCAACUGUCUCAUAAAACUAAUCGCGUAUGGUGGCGCUAUCUGCAUGGUUUAGAGAGUACUUCUACGUCGCCAAAUAACGAAUCCGAUGUUUUCAUGAGUGCUAGUAUACCAAUAUUGUUUAUCACUACUUUUCGUGAUCAUUUGAGGUUAUGUCCAACUCUUGCGUCCCGGCCAGACCGACUGCUCCAUUUGACAUUAACAGUCUAGCAAUUCUAGAAUCCACAUAGAAAGCAGGAUGGUCAGGCAUUAUAAGAAAAAGAACAGAUCUGUGCGAAAUGGUAAGGUCUUCAAGGCGUAUUGCGCCUACGCAGGAGACCUACGCGCCUCGCAGGACAGAUUGGAGGUUGCUGUAAACCUGGUCAGAAACAGAAAAAUGUCUAUCCUAGGACUUGUUACCUAAAACUUAACUUGUCUUUUUUUAAAACUUUUGACCCUUAAAUUUUGUAAAUUUGCAUGUGCCUACAUUUCCUUAACUUCAAUGUGCCUAAAUUCCCCACGAUUACAAUUACUUUUUUCUAUUUCUGUGUUACUUUGCUAAAAAUUAUAUAUUUUCAUAAAUUUUUUCAGUUUUUGUACUCAAAUAUCUUUUUUAAAACUUGGUUUACCUUCCCAAAUAGCCCCCUGUAUGAGGUUAUUUGAUACCAGCUCAUAACAUAUGGCUUUAGUGCUAUUUCCCAAAUUACCCCCAUCAAGGGGCAAUUUGGGAAACAUCUUUCAAAAUUUUUUUACCCCCCAAAAAGGGGAGGUAAAAUAAGUCAACCCUAAUUUCUUAUGCUUUGGGGUCGGAUCUUUCCAAAAUGCCCUGUUGUUUUGAAAUUAGUGGGAAUUUCUAGUUAAAAUUCUAAAAAACUGCAAAAAAUUUCCCAAAUAGCCCCGAUUGACGGUAUUAUUAUUGCACAAAAAUCGUUUUGGUAUCAAAUAAAGGUCAGGCAAUUCUACGGCUCCAUUAGAGGAGGCAAAACAUCCAUUUUCGAGCCUGUCAAAAG
rnacentral:lncRNA from 1 species